rnacentral:rRNA from 1 species
GAUGAACGCUGGCGGCGUGCCUAAUACAUGCAAGUCGAGCGAACGGACGAGAAGCUUGCUUCUCUGAUGUUAGCGGCGGACGGGUGAGUAACACGUGGAUAACCUACCUAUAAGACUGGGAUAACUUCGGGAAACCGGAGCUAAUACCGGAUAAUAUUUUGAACCGCAUGGUUCAAAAGUGAAAGACGGUCUUGCUGUCACUUAUAGAUGGAUCCGCGCUGCAUUAGCUAGUUGGUAAGGUAACGGCUUACCAAGGCAACGAUGCAUAGCCGACCUGAGAGGGUGGGAGGACACAAGGGAACAGAGUACCGGACAAGAAUCGGACGGGAGGAAGAAGGAGGGAAGAUUGAGAAAUGGGCGAAAGCCUGCAGGAGCAAAGAUGAGGGAGUGAUGAAGGUAUUAGUAUCGGAAAACUCUGUGAGUAGAGAAGAAAAAAUGCGCAAGUAAAUAGGCACGCCUGGAAGGGAGGUAAUCAGAAAGCGACGGCUAACUAAGUG